rnacentral:rRNA from 1 species
UUGAAGAGUUUGAUCAUGGCUCAGAUUGAACGCUGGCGGCAGGCCUAACACAUGCAAGUCGAGCGGUAGCACAGAGAGCUUGCUCUCGGGUGACGAGCGGCGGACGGGUGAGUAAUGUCUGGGAAACUGCCUGAUGGAGGGGGAUAACUACUGGAAACGGUAGCUAAUACCGCAUAACGUCGCAAGACCAAAGAGGGGGACCUUCGGGCCUCUUGCCAUCAGAUGUGCCCAGAUGGGAUUAGCUAGUAGGUGGGGUAACGGCUCACCUAGGCGACGAUCCCUAGCUGGUCUGAGAGGAUGACCAGCCACACUGGAACUGAGACACGGUCCAGACUCCUACGGGAGGCAGCAGUGGGGAAUAUUGCACAAUGGGCGCAAGCCUGAUGCAGCCAUGCCGCGUGUAUGAAGAAGGCCUUCGGGUUGUAAAGUACUUUCAGCGGGGAGGAAGGCGAUAAGGUUAAUAACCUUGUCGAUUGACGUUACCCGCAGAAGAAGCACCGGCUAACUCCGUGCCAGCAGCCGCGGUAAUACGGAGGGUGCAAGCGUUAAUCGGAAUUACUGGGCGUAAAGCGCACGCAGGCGGUCUGUCAAGUCGGAUGUGAAAUCCCCGGGCUCAACCUGGGAACUGCAUUCGAAACUGGCAGGCUAGAGUCUUGUAGAGGGGGGUAGAAUUCCAGGUGUAGCGGUGAAAUGCGUAGAGAUCUGGAGGAAUACCGGUGGCGAAGGCGGCCCCCUGGACAAAGACUGACGCUCAGGUGCGAAAGCGUGGGGAGCAAACAGGAUUAGAUACCCUGGUAGUCCACGCCGUAAACGAUGUCGACUUGGAGGUUGUUCCCUUGAGGAGUGGCUUCCGGAGCUAACGCGUUAAGUCGACCGCCUGGGGAGUACGGCCGCAAGGUUAAAACUCAAAUGAAUUGACGGGGGCCCGCACAAGCGGUGGAGCAUGUGGUUUAAUUCGAUGCAACGCGAAGAACCUUACCUACUCUUGACAUCCAGAGAACUUUCCAGAGAUGGAUUGGUGCCUUCGGGAACUCUGAGACAGGUGCUGCAUGGCUGUCGUCAGCUCGUGUUGUGAAAUGUUGGGUUAAGUCCCGCAACGAGCGCAACCCUUAUCCUUUGUUGCCAGCGGUCGGCCGGGAACUCAAAGGAGACUGCCAGUGAUAAACUGGAGGAAGGUGGGGAUGACGUCAAGUCAUCAUGGCCCUUACGAGUAGGGCUACACACGUGCUACAAUGGCGCAUACAAAGAGAAGCGACCUCGCGAGAGCAAGCGGACCUCAUAAAGUGCGUCGUAGUCCGGAUUGGAGUCUGCAACUCGACUCCAUGAAGUCGGAAUCGCUAGUAAUCGUAGAUCAGAAUGCUACGGUGAAUACGUUCCCGGGCCUUGUACACACCGCCCGUCACACCAUGGGAGUGGGUUGCAAAAGAAGUAGGUAGCUUAACCUUCGGGAGGGCGCUUACCACUUUGUGAUUCAUGACUGGGGUGAAGUCGUAACAAGGUAACCGUAGGGGAACCUGCGGUUGGAUCACCUCCUU